AUUGGAGAGCCAUAUGAAUAAGAUAGAAAACAUCAAUGAUUGUCCGCAAUGUUGUCACUGUAAUUGCCAGCUUUCUAUCAAUGCCAAGACAGUUCAAGCUUUGGUUAAUGACAGGAACAUAAAAGAAUAGUGGGUCCACUGAUAUUGCCAAAAUACAUGAUAUGACAAAAAGUUUAUUCAAAAAUAAGAGCAAUUUGUCUUGAGGAUCGAAGAUUUUCUUCUUUGACUCUUUAAGAUCCUCUGGAAAUACAGCUCGAGACACCCCAAACUUGAGUGAUCGGCCAAUCGAUUUAAGUCCUUCAGACCCUUUCCUCAUUCCUCUCUUAAAGGAUCCAGACGGCUUAUCAUUCCCAUGGACUGCACGGUUAAAUCCAUCUAUAUUAAACCCACAUCUUCUCAUUCCACUAUCAGAAGGUGAUGACAAUCUGGAGUCCAAGUCAUCCAACCUCACAAACUUUUCUCGCUGACCACCCAUCAGUUGUGACUUGUAACCACAGUCAAACAUUUUCUAUAAGCAUCAGAACCAGAAACCAUCAGCUCAG
rnacentral:misc_RNA from 1 species